ACUUGAAUAGCUUAAGUUUAAAGUGUAAUAUUGAAGAUAUUAAGAUAAGUCUAACUUUUUAAGUA
rnacentral:tRNA from 1 species